rnacentral:ncRNA from 1 species
UGAUUCUUAGAAAUUCUUAAUGUUCUAUCAGUAUACUAGCAAUGUUUGAACACGAUGUUCAAACAAGCUGCCACUGAGCCACGGAUGGCGAAUUGGCAGCGGUUGCGUAAAGUUUUCACCAUGUUUAUUUAGAACAUUUAGAAUUUCUUAGAUUCA